rnacentral:tRNA from 1 species
GAGGGGUUUAACGACAAGAACUGCUAAUUCAUGUCUCCAUAUAUAACCAUAUGGCCCCCUUAC